rnacentral:rRNA from 1 species
CGGAAUCUACUUUUUCGUGGGGGAUAACGUAGGGAAACUUACGCUAAUACCGCAUACGACCUACGGGUGAAAGCAGGGGACCUUCGGGCCUUGCGCGAUUGAAUGAGCCGAUGUCGGAUUAGCUAGUUGGCGGGGUAAAGGCCCACCAAGGCGACGAUCCGUAGCUGGUCUGAGAGGAUGAUCAGCCACACUGGAACUGAGACACGGUCCAGACUCCUACGGGAGGCAGCAGAGGGGAAUAUUGGACAAUGGGCGCAAGCCUGAUCCAGCCAUACCGCGUGGGUGAAGAAGGCCUUCGGGUUGUAAAGCCCUUUUGUUGGGAAAGAAAUCCAGCCGGCUAAUACCUGGUUGGGAUGACGGUACCCAAAGAAUAAGCACCGGCUAACUUCGUGCCAGCAGCCGCGGUAAUACGAAGGGUGCAAGCGUUACUCGGAAUUACUGGGCGUAAAGCGUGCGUAGGUGGUUGUUUAAGUCUGUUGUGAAAGCCCUGGGCUCAACCUGGGAACUGCAGUGGAAACUGGACAACUAGAGUGUGGUAGAGGGUAGCGGAAUUCCCGGU